UACGGGGGGGGCAAGCGUUGUUCGGAAUUACUGGGCGUAAAGGGCUCGUAGGUGGCCAACUAAGUCAUACGUGAGAUCCCUCGGCUUAACCGGGGAACUGCGUCUGAUACUGGAUGGCUUGAGGUUGGGAGAGGGAUGCGGAAUUCCAGGUGUAGCGGUGAAAUGCGUAGAUAUCUGGAGGAACACCGGUGGCGAAGGCGGCAUCCUGGACCAAUUCUGACACUGAGGAGCGAAAGCCAGGGGAGCAAACGGG
rnacentral:rRNA from 1 species